GACGAACGCUGGCGGCGUGCUUAACACAUGCAAGUCGAACGGAAAGGCCCUGCUUUUGUGGGGUUCUCGAGUGGCGAACGGGUGAGUAACACGUGUGUAACCUGCCCUUGACUUUGGGAUAACUUCAGGAAACUGGGGCUAAUACCGGAUAGGAGCUCCUGCUGCAUGGUGGGGGUUGGAAAGUUUCGGCGGUUGUGGAUGGACUCGCGGCUUAUCAGCUUGUUGGUGUGGUAGUGGCUUACCAAGGGUUUGACGGGUAGCCGGCCUGGGAGGGGGACCGGCCACAUUGCGACUGAGAGACGGCCCAGACGGCUACGGGAGGCAGUGGUGGGGAAUUUUGCGGAAUGGGCGGAAGCGUGAUGCAGAAACGCCGCGUGCGGGAUGACGGCCUUCGGGUUGUGAACCGCUGUCGCCUGUGACGAAGCGUGAGUGACGGUAAUGAGUAAAGAAGCACCGGCUAACUACGUG
rnacentral:rRNA from 1 species